rnacentral:rRNA from 1 species
GAUGAACGCUAGCUACAGGCUUAACACAUGCAAGUCGCGGGGCAGCAUGGGGGUUGCUUGCAACUCCCGAUGGCGACCGGCGCACGGGUGAGUAACGCGUAUCCAACCUGCCCUUCACCACCGUAUAACCCGGCGAAAGUCGGACUAAUACCGUAUGUUUUCCAUUGACGGCCUCCGAUUUGGACGAAAGGCUUUGCGGUGAAGGCUGGGGUUGCGGGCGAUUAGCCAGACGGCGGGGUAACGGCCCUACUUGGCCACGAUAGGUAGGGGUUCUGAGAGGAAGGUCCCCCACAGUGGAACUGAGACACGGACGAGACUCCUACGGAAGGGAGCAGUGAGGAAGAUUGGAGAAGGGGAGAAAGCCUGAAGCAGCCAAGUAGCGUGAAGGAUGACGGCGCUAUGGGUUGUAAACUGCUUUUAGGAGGGGAUAAAGUGGCCCAAGUGUGGGCUUUUGCAGGUACCGAAUGAAUAAGGACCGGCUAAUUCCGUG